rnacentral:tRNA from 1 species
CUUAAGGCUUUAAGUU